UGGCGAGGUUCUACAUUGGUGAAAUGGU
rnacentral:piRNA from 1 species